rnacentral:rRNA from 1 species
UACGGAGGGUGCAAGCGUUAUCCGGAUUCACUGGGUUUAAAGGGUGCGUAGGAGGGCAGGUAAGUCAGUGGUGAAAUCUUCGAGCUUAACUCGGAAACUGCCGUUGAUACUAUCUGUCUUGAAUACCGUGGAGAUGAGCGGAAUAUGUCAUGUAGCGGUGAAAUGCUUAGAUAUGACAUAGAACACCAAUUGCGAAGGCAGCUCGUUACACGAAUAUUGACUCUGAGGCACGAAAGCGUGGGGAUCAAACAAG